rnacentral:rRNA from 1 species
UACGUAGGGGGCGAGCGUUGUCCGGAUUUAUUGGGCGUAAAGAGCUCGUAGGCGGUUCGAUAAGUCGGAUGUGAAAUCUCCACGCUCAACGUGGAGGGGCCAUUCGAUACUGUCGUGACUCGAGUCCGGUAGGGGAGUGUGGAAUUCCUGGUGUAGCGGUGAAAUGCGCAGAUAUCAGGAGGAACACCGGUGGCGAAGGCAGCUCUCUGGGACGGUACUGACGCUGAGACGCGAAAGCGUGGGGAGCGAACAGG